rnacentral:rRNA from 1 species
AUUGAACGCUGGCGGCAUGCCUUACACAUGCAAGUCGAACGGCAGCACGGGGCAACCUGGUGGCGAGUGGCGAACGGGUGAGUAAUGCAUCGGAACGUGCCAUUGAGUGGGGGAUAACGUAGCGAAAGUUGCGCUAAUACCGCAUAUUCUGUGAGCAGGAAAGCAGGGGGACCGCAAGGCCUUGCGCUCUUUGAGCGGCCGAUGUCAGAUUAGCUAGUUGGUGAAGUAACGGCUUACCAAGGCGACGAUCUGUAGCGGGUCUGAGAGGAUGAUCCGCCACACUGGAACUGAGACACGGUCCAGACUCCUACGGGAGGCAGCAGUGGGGAAUUUUGGACAAUGGGCGCAAGCCUGAUCCAGCCAUGCCGCGUGAGUGAAGAAGGCC